GUAACACGUUGGUGACCUACCCCAGAGAGGGGAAUAACUAUUGGAAACGAUAGCUAAUACCCCAGAUGUCAUUGUCGUUAGAGAGCAAUGACUAAAGCUCCGGCGCUCUGGGAUGGGCCUGCGUCCCAUCAGCUUGUUGGUAGGGUAACGGCCUACCAAGGCUUAGACGGGUAGGGGGCGUGAGAGCGUGACCCCCCACACUGGUACUGACACACGGACCAGAUACCUACGGGUAGCAGCAGCAAGGAAUAUUGCGCAAUGGACGAAAGUCUGACGCAGCAACGCCGCGUGGAGGAUGAAGGCCUUCGGGUUGUAAACUCCUUUUCUGGGGGACGAGAAAGGACGGUACCCCAGGAAUAAGUCUCGGCUAACUACGUGCCAGCAGCCGCGGUAAAACGUAGGAGACGAGCGUUAUCCGGAUUUAUUGGGCGUAAAGCGCAUGCAGGCGGUUUUCUAAGUCGGACGUGAAAGCUCCCGGCUCAACUGGGAGAGGCCGUUCGAAACUAGGGAACUUGAGGGUGGUAGAGGAGAGUGGAAUUCCCGGUGUAGUGGUGAAAUGCGUAGAUAUCGGGAGGAACACCAGUGGCGAAAGCGGCUCCCUGGGCCAUCCCUGACGCUCAGAUGCGAAAGCCAGGGGAGAGAACGGGAUUAGAAACCCCGGUAUUCCUGGCUAUAAACGAUGUCAACUAGGCGUAGGGGGUAUCCAACCCCCCUGUGCUGCAGCUAACGCGUUAAGUUGACCGCCUGGGGACUACGGCCGCAAGGUUAAAACUCAAAGGAAUUGACGGGGCCCCGCACAAGCAGCGGAGCGUGUGGUUUAAUUCGAGGCUACGCGAAGAACCUUACCAGGGUUUGACAUGUGGGUGGUAGGAAGGUGAAAGCUAACCGACCCUUCGGGGAGCCCACACAGGUGCUGCAUGGCUGUCGUCAGCUCGUGCCGUGAGGUGUUAGGUUAAGUCCUGUAACGAGCGCAACCCUCGUCGUUAGUUACAUGUGUCUAACGAGACCGCCGGUGUUAAGCCGGAGGAAGGU
rnacentral:rRNA from 1 species